CCUACGGGAGGCAGCAGUGGGGAAUAUUGGACAAUGGGGGCAACCCUGAUCCAGCAAUGCCGCGUGUGUGAAGAAGGCCUUCGGGUUGUAAAGCACUUUUGUCAGUGAAGAAUGGUGCAAGGUUAAUAGCCUUGUAUUUGACAUUAGCUGAAGAAUAAGCACCGGCUAACUCCGUGCCAGCAGCCGCGGUAAUACGGAGGGUGCGAGCGUUAUUCGGAAUUACUGGGCGUAAAGGGUACGCAGGCGGUUAUUCAAGUCAGAUGUGAAAGCCCCGGGCUUAACCUGGGAAUUGCAUUUGAAACUGAGUAACUAGAGUAUGAUAGAGGGAAGCGGAAUUUCCAGUGUAGCAGUGAAAUGCGUAGAUAUUGGAAGGAACACCGAUGGCGAAGGCAGCUUUCUGGGUCAAUACUGACGCUCAUGUACGAAAGCGUGGGUAGCAAACGGGAUUAGAUACCCCGGUAGUCCACGCCCUAAACGAUGUCAACUAGGCGUUGGGAACGAUAAGUUUUCGGUGCCGCAGCUAACGCAUUAAGUUGACCGCCUGGGGAGUACGGCCGCAAGGUUGAAACUCAAAGAAAUUGACGGGGACCCGCACAAGCGGUGGAGCAUGUGGUUUAAUUCGAUGCAACGCGAAGAACCUUACCAGGCCUUGACAUCCAGAGAAGUUACCAGAGACGGUUUCGUGCCUUCGGGAACUCUGAGACAGGUGUUGCAUGGCUGUCGUCAGCUCGUGUCGUGAGAUGUUGGGUUAAGUCCCGCAACGAGCGCAACCCUUAUCCUUACUUGCCAGCACCUUGGGGUGGGAACUUUAAGGAGACUGCCGGUGACAAGCCGGAGGAAGGUGGGGAUGACGUCAAGUCAUCAUGGCCCUUACGGCCUGGGCUACACACGUGCUACAAUGGGCGGUACAGACGGUUGCCAACCCGCGAGGGGGAGCUAAUCUGAGAAAGCCGUUCGUAGUCCGGAUCGCAGUCUGCAACUCGACUGCGUGAAGUCGGAAUCGCUAGUAAUCGCGAAUCAGAACGUCGCGGUGAAUACGUUCCCGGGUCUUGUACACACUGCCCGUCACACCAUGGGAGUGGGUUGCACCAGAAGAGGCUAGCUUAACUUAGGAGGGCGGUCUCCACGGUGUGAUUCAUGACUGGGGUGAAGUCGUAACAAGGUAACCGUAGGGGAACCUGCGGUUG
rnacentral:rRNA from 1 species